GACGAACGCUGGCGGCGUGCUUAACACAUGCAAGUCGAACGGAAAGGCCCUGCUUGCAGGGUACUCGAGUGGCGAACGGGUGAGUAACACGUGGGUGAUCUGCCCUGCACUUCGGGAUAAGCCUGGGAAACUGGGUCUAAUACCGGAUAGGAGCCAUUUUUAGUGUGAUGGUUGGAAAGUUUUUUUCGGUGUAGGAUGAGCUCGCGGCCUAUCAUCUUGUUGGUGGGGUAAUGGCCUACCAAGGCGGCGACGGGUAGCCGGCCUGAGAGGGUGGACGGCCACAUUGGGACUGAGGUACGGCCCAGACUCCUACGGGGGGCAGCAGUGGGGAAUAUUGCACAAUGGGCGCAAGCCUGAUGCAGCGACGCCGCGUGGGGGAGGACGGCCUUCGGGUUGUAAACUCCUUUCGCUAGGGACGAAGCUUUUUGUGACGGUACCUAGAGAAGAAGCACCGGCUAACUACGUG
rnacentral:rRNA from 1 species